GAUUGGUAAGAUUACGGUUUUACCAACAUGACUUGAACGAAGUUCAAGAGAGUUUGAUUCUUUCAGUCUUUGAGCUGUAAACACAUGAACAAUG
rnacentral:sRNA from 12 species